AUUGAACGCUGGCGGCAGGCCUAACACAUGCAAGUCGAACGAGUGGCGGACGGGUGAGUAAUGUAUGGGGAACUGCCCGAUGGAGGGGGAUAAAUACUGGAAACGGUAGCUAAUACCGCAUACUAUCGGAUGUGCCCAUAGGGGAUUAGCUUGUAGGUGAGGUAACGGAUCACCUAGGCGACGAUCCCUAGCUGGUCUGAGAGGAUGAUCAGCCAGAAUGGGACGGAGACACGGUCCAGACGCCUACGGGAGGCAGCAGGGGGGAAUAUUGCACAAUGGGCGCAAUCCUGAGGCAGCCAUGCCGCGUGUAUGAAGAAGGCCUUAGGGUGGUAAAGUACUUUCAGCGGGGAGGCGUUAACGGCAGAAGAAGCACCGGCUAACUCCGUGCCAGCCGCCGCGGUAAUAC
rnacentral:rRNA from 1 species